GAUGAGCGCUGGCGGCGUGCCUAAUACAUGCAAGUCGAGCGAACGGACGAGAAGCUUGCUUCUCUGAUGUUAGCGGCGGACGGGUGAGUAACACGUGGAUAACCUACCUAUAAGACUGGGAUAACUUCGGGAAACCGUAGCUAAUACCGGAUAAUAUUUUGAACCGCAUGGUUCAAAAGUGAAAGACGGUCUUGCUGUCACUUAUAGAUGGAUCCGCGCUGCAUUAGCUAGUUGGUAAGGUAACGGCUUACCAAGGCAACGAUGCAUAGCCGACCUGAGAGGGUGAUCGGCCACACUGGAACUGAGACACGGUCCAGACUCCUACGGGAGGCAGCAGUAGGGAAUCUUGCGCAAUGGGCGAAAGCCUGACGGAGCAACGCCGCGUGAGUGAUGGAGGUCUUCGGAUCGUAAAACUCUGUUAUUAGGGAAGAACAUAUGUGUAAGUAACUGUGCACAUCUUGACGGUACCUAAUCAGAAAGCCACGGCUAACUACGUG
rnacentral:rRNA from 1 species